rnacentral:rRNA from 1 species
GAUGAACGCUGGCGGCGUGCCUAAUACAUGCAAGUCGAGCGAACAGACGAGGAGCUUGCUCCACUGACGUUAGCGGCGGAAGGGUGAGUAAAACGUGGAUAACCUACCUAUAAGACUGGGAUAACUUCGGGAAACCGGAGCUAAUACCGGAUAAUAUAUUGAACCGCAUGGUUCAAUAGUGAAAGACGGUUUUGCUGUCACUUAUAGAUGGAUCCGCGCCGCAUUAGCUAGUUGGUAAGGUAACGGCUUACCAAAGCAACGAUGCGUAGCCGACCUGAGAGGGUGGUCGGCCACACUAGAACUGAGACACAGUCCAGGCUCCAACGGGAGGCAGCAGUAGAGAAUCUUCCGCGUUGGGCGAAGACCUGACGGAGCAACGCCGCGUGGGUGAUGAAGGUCUUCGGAUCGUAAAACUCUAUUAUUAGGGAAAAACAAUUGUGUAAUUAACUAUGCACGUCUUGACGGUACCUGAUCAGAAGGCCACGGCUAACUCCGUG